GAUGAAGAACGUAGCGAAAUGCGAUACGUAAUGUGAAUUGCAGAAUUCAGUGAAUCAUCGAGUCUUUGAACGCACAUUGCGCCCUCUGGUAUUCCGGAGGGCAUGCCUGUCCGAGCGUCAUUGCUGCCCUCAAGCACGGCUUGUGUGUUGGGCUCCGUCCCCCGAUCCCGGGGGACGGGCCCGAAAGGCAGCGGCGGCACCGCGUCCGGUCCUCGAGCGUAUGGGGCUUUGUCACCCGCUCUGUAGGCCCAGCCGGCGCUUGCCGAUCAACCAAAUUUUUAUCCAGGUUGACCUCGGAUCAGGUAGGGAUACCCGCUGAACUUAAGCAUAUCAAUAAGCGGAGGA
rnacentral:misc_RNA from 1 species